GACGUCAUUACCCUAAGUACAUGUAUGAAGACAUGAAUGUUGUGACUCUACUUUGUGUACAACCAGAGGCAUGAAAAACUGUGCUCUAUAUGUGUACUAUGAAUUGAAAUGCAUUCUGCUAUUAUGUAUAACAAAUUAGAAUAAAUAAAUAAAUUUUUAAAAAGAAUAUACAAAACUACAGUACAAAGCAGAAUAAAAUUUUACAGACAAUGAUUUGUCAGAUACCGUGGAGAGUGAGAGCGUAUUUUAUUAGUGGAAUCAGGAAAUGAAGUAAUUACAAAAUUGAUGGCAUUCUUGCUGUAUCUUGAAGGAUAGGAUUUGGACAGAUGAGGAAGCGCUUUAAGCAGUAAAAGCACAGUGCUGAGAACGUGGGAGGGAACCAUGAGUGUUGCCAUUUAAGGUAGAAGCAGGUAAGUAGUGGUGAAUGGAGUGCCACAUGGGCACAAUUGACUGUACCUCCUUUUGAACAACUGCUUACUCCAGAGUCACUGUACCCACCUGGCUCUUUGCUGGUCUGCCUGGCUGCAGUUUUGCAGUCUUCUUUCC
rnacentral:lncRNA from 1 species